rnacentral:rRNA from 1 species
AUGCACGGCCGCUCCUCCACGACGACACCAACCGUCCAGAAGCGGAGUCGCCGCCUCGACCCGGGGUCCCCCCGUCCCUGUCGUGGUCGGCGCCACGCCCAUCCCGAGGCACCACCCGCUCGUUGUCGGCACGCCCGAGCUUGCCAAGAAGUUCGCCGUGCCGCGGAGGGGCUCCUGGGGCCGAGAAGCAUAGCGGCGCCGGCGAUGCCGGGGUGCUCUUAUCACCCAAGGUUGUCAGGCCCAUCGCGCUCAACUUCGAGGAGAGGACGCCCGUCAAGGAGCGGCCCUCGCCAGCGCGGAGCUCGGCGUCGGUCAAGAAGAGCACCACCAUCAUGCCCAGGCUGGUGA